UACGGAGGGAGCUAGCGUUGUUCGGAAUUACUGGGCGUAAAGCGCACGUAGGCGGCGAUUUAAGUCAGGGGUGAAAGCCCGGUGCUCAACACCGGAACUGCCUUUGAGACUGGAUUGCUUGAAUCACGGAGAGGUGGGUGGAAUUCCGAGUGUAGAGGUGAAAAUUCGUAGAUAUUCGGAAGAACACCAGUGGCGAAGGCGGCCCACUGGACGUGUAUUGACGCUGAGGUGCGAAAGCGUGGGGAGCAAACAGGG
rnacentral:rRNA from 1 species